UGUUUGAAUUUGUUGCUGAUUUUCUUCCAUCAAGUUACCAGUUAAGGAAAAAAGCUUGUUUCUUCAUGUCAGUUGAAAGUGAUGAAACCCAGGAUUGAGGACAGCAUUCAGUGGCAAUACUGCUUUUCCUGCAAGUGUGAGGACCUGGUAUUCCAACCCUGAGGACCUCCUCAAAAUCUAAAAAGAUGCCCCAUGGAAAAACAACGGCAUAAACACACGUGCAUUUGACAAGCCAAGGUGUGUGGAGGAAGCACACACAGAGAUCUCAACAAUAAUUUAGCAGGGCUAGAGAGACGCCGUCGUGGAUAAGAGUGCAUGCACCUCGUACGGAGAACCCAAUUCGGUUUCCAGCAACUAUGUCAUCUACAGCUUCAUCUCCAGAAGACCAAAGCCUCUGUGUUCUGAAGGACACGCAGACAUACCAACACACUGAAACACCAACAUGCAGGGGCUCUACAGGACUGGAAAUGACUGCAGCCCCUGUUUCUGUGAUCUUCAACUACUUUAAUCGAAAGUUAGCUUUCCUUGUUCGUGUGCAAAGGCAUUGCAUUUUACAAGUUAAUAAAAAGCUGCAGUGAGA